AUCUCCCGGGAUAAAAAGGAAUUAUGGAAUUAUCUCAUGUUACAAACCAUUUAUGAUGAUCGUAUGCAACAUACCUAGAAGGACUUGAGCAAGAACAUUUUGCAGGCUUGCUCUGCAGUUACUUUUUCAAUUUAAUGGAAUUGCUGACAGUUGCAGACUUGCUGCGCAAAAUGAAAUUAAUGGAGGAUCGGGCUUGGAGAAUCGCAAAUAAAAAGACAGGUAUCAGCCGUUCAAUCAAACCCAGCUACCCGGUCGCCGUCUCAAUAUCUAUGAAAAAUCGCUGUAUGGCAAAGAUUAAAAAAACAAGCACACGCCUCCACGCAUCGCUUCAGCAGAAUGCGAUACUUCCGUAGGCCAAGCGAUAUCAGCACACCAGCAGGGAUCCAGAUCAAUUUAUAAUGCGGUAUACUUUUGUCUAUACUUUUGCUGAUCAUAAAAAACUGGGCUGCAAGAAUUUUCCUUCUUCCAUCAAGUGUACAAUGUGCAAAGGAGCCAAAUCUUUAUUAAAUGAGGAUAUUUUUCGACACAUUCUGAUUGUUUUUUGUUCAUUUUCAUACACAUUCUGGUUGGUUUUCGCGAGGGUCAAGCGGGACAGUUUGACCUUCACCUCUAAAUAUCUCAAGCCGGCCUUUCCAUCACAAGAGGUCCACGCAGCAUUUCAGGAGACCUAUGAGGUUUUCUACGCGGCCAUGAGGAAACAUAUGGUCGAACGUAACAUAGGCAGGCACGUGCAGGCGAGCAUAGUGGACAGCAGGAUAGUGCAGUAGCGGCGUGAGGCAUCCAAUUGAUUUACUGGGGUUCGUGUUGUUUAUGCCUCUGUCCAGUGAAAACUUCAGGGAGCACAGGGACAUCAACACAAUGUCCUUCCAAGCUGAGAUAUGUCACCGCUCACCGGCAGACCAUAAUUGCGAUCGUUCGCGCCUCCGUGCGUUCUGACCGCUUUUUAGUAGGCGAUCUGGGUUUACAAAUUUUAACCAAAAUGUUUGCCUUGGAACAAGGACCGAGGCUUUUAUGUACUUGGUUGAUGUGUGGCGUAUCUAUAUGCAAGUUCUGUUACAGCGUUUUUAGAAAAGAAAAUGUAUAUUUACCGUAAGAUCAAGGUUAUCUUUUCGCUGCCUUAUGGCGUAAGUCGAAGAGAUCGCCUUAGAAUGUUCUGACAUUGCUCGCUUCUGCCGCUCCCAAUCAAUUUUAGGUUCCCUCUCCCUUUAUUUUCCCUUCGCCUCUCACCAUCCUUUCCUCUCUCCCUCCUCUCUUCUCCUUUCU